GAAAUGGACAAGGUAGAAGGGAC
rnacentral:piRNA from 1 species